CCCAUAGGAUCCCAUAUGGCCCCAUACGGCCCCAUAGGAUCCCAUAGGGCCCCAUAGGAUCCCAUAGGGCCCCAUAGAAUCCCAUAGGUCCCCAUAGGAUCUGAUAGGGCCCCAUAUGCCCAUAGGAUCCCAUAUGGCCACAUACGGCCCCAUAGGAUCCCAUAGGGCCCCAUAGCCCCAUAGGGCCCCAUAGAAUCCCAUAGGUCCCCAUAGGAUCUGAUAGGGCCCCAUAGCCCCAUAGGAUCCCAUAUGGCCCCAUACGGCCCCAUAGGAUCCCAUAGGGCCCCAUAGCCCCAUAGGACCCCAUAAGGCCCUAUAGGACCCCAUACGGCCCCAUAGGAUCCCAUAGGGCCCCAUAGCCCCAUAGGAUCCCAUAGGAACCCACAGGAUCCCAUAGGAUCCCAUAGGGCCCCAUAGCCCCAUACAGCCCCAUAGAAUCACAUAGGUCCCCAUAGGAUCUGAUAGGGCCCCAUAGCCCCAUAGGAUCCCAUAUGGCCCCAUACGGCCCCAUAGGAUCCCAUAGGGCCCCAUAGCCCCAUAGGAUCCCAUAUGGCCACAUACGGCCCCAUAGGAUCCCAUAGGGCCCCAUAGCCCCAUAGGACCCCAUAAGGCCCUAUAGGACCCCAUACGGCCCCAUAGGAUCCCAUAGGGCCCCAUAGCCCCAUAUGGCCCCAUAGAAUCCCAUAGGUCCCCAUAGGAUCUGAUAGGGCCCCAUAUCCCCAUAGGAUCCCAUAUGGCCACAUACGGCCCCAU
ensembl:lncRNA